UCGCGAGGACGACCUCCCUCUGCGGGCAGAUUGGCCGGGACGACCCGG
rnacentral:ncRNA from 1 species